CCUGCCGUAGCUCAAUCAGGAGAGCACCCGAUCGAUAAUCGGGAGAUUGCCGGUGCAGAUCCGGCCUUGCAGGACCA
rnacentral:tRNA from 1 species